UUUCCGCAGGUGAACCUGCGGAAGGAUCAUUCAUAAUAAAGUGUUUUAUGGCACUUUUUAAAAAUCCAUAUCCACCUUGUGUGCAAUGUUAGAUCUCGUCAAUCUUGGCGAGAUUUUUAUACAUCAACUCAUUCUUUAACUAAUUUGUCUGAAAAAUAUUAUGAAUACUUAAUUCAAAAUACAACUUUCAACAACGGAUCUCUUGGCUCUCGCAUCGAUGAUGAACGCAGC
rnacentral:misc_RNA from 1 species